AUGUAAAAAGCUGGUUUUUGAUAUAAAUAUGAACUUGAUUGAACAAAACAUGCAUGUAUUGUAUAACAUAAUGUCCUAGGGUUGUCAUCUGAUGAAGCUCAUCAAAGAGUAACAAGUUGGGAAAUGUCAGCUCCCGUUCGGCUCAGAAGCUUGGGAAUUUGGAUUGUGCACAUAAACACCUGCUUAUAAGAGAUCUGUGUAAUAUCUACAUUACACUUAUGUUGUCAAAGACAUAUACACACACAGACAGAAACCAAGUUGGAAAAUGACGGCUCCAGUUAAGUUCAGAAUCCUCUUUGGAGAAAACUACUCGCAGCAAUUGACUCUUCCGUCUGGAAUACAUGUGUCUGUGAAUGAACUCUCAAAUAAGAUGAUGAGACUGAAAGGCAAGUUUAGGCUUCAAUUCAAGUGAAUAGAAUUAUUACACUAUUAACCCAAUGCAAACAAAAAACACAAAUAAAACUAAAUUGCACAUAUCCUAUAUCACACAAAUACACAAAUAGAGUAACACACUUAUAAAGAAGAGAACCGGAUUAUUACACUAUUGCACUUCAAACAAGAAACACAAACUCAAUUGCACAACUAAUUGCAUUACUAAUUGCAUUAGUACUGUACAAAGAUAGAGGUAUUUAAUAGAUUCCCCCGCCCCCCUUACCUCGGGCUUCCAGUGGGGAGACCUGAAGUCAACUACCCGUCGCAUAAUUUUGAGGGGGAGACCUUCCCAGGCAGUAGCCUGCCUAGCUCACAAACUAGAAUCAGGGCGCCCUCUCCGACAAGGUUAAAUGACCCACUUGACAUGCAAAUGAGCGAUAGAAAACCGAUCGCGCAAAUGUCACCAUUCCCAAAAAAAUGUAAUAAAAAAAAAUACAUUUGUGCGGGUGCCCCGUUCCAACCCCAGCAAGAUGCUGACCUGGGCGGCUACCCAUGUCGCCUAUACCUAAAUCCGCCACUGUCAACAGCAGAUAUCCAGGGCAAAGGUACUAUCAAAGUGAUAUCUUUGCCUGAUUUGCCCAUCCCUUGUAAUGCUAUUGUUGGAUGACUCCUCAUAAUUCCUUGAGACACUGAUGAUACGACCGUACUGUCUUCCUCCGAGUCCACUGCAUGGCCAGAUGUCUUUUGUGUACCCCAUUCCUCCUAUGACGCUGAGAUAGAGCUUGACCGGGGCUAAUGAGACACUUCCUUAUGGAAAGAACCUUUUAUUUUAAGAACUGACAUUUUCAAGUAUCCCUUUUCAGACAAUGCAGAGGUGCGUUGACCUACUGUUUAUUUUGAACACAAGUUUUAGACAUGCGUUUAUCAAAGCACUUUAUGUUUAGAACAGAUGUUUUUAAAUGAGUGAGCUCGGCAUCUCCACCUUUAAUUCAGAAGUGUGCGACCUGUUCACUCUUCCUGUUGCUAGAAGCCUUUGACAGUUGACAGCAUGGCUCAAGGAUUUUUUGGACCCUAUUCCAUUUUAUACAUUUUCAAUCCAUGAGUGUGUAGGCCAAUAUCAAAUCAUCCCCUAAACCCUACACC
rnacentral:lncRNA from 1 species